UACGAGAAGGCAGCUACACGGCGACGUGAGGCUAAUCCCUAAAUCCUCUCUCAGUUCGGAUUGGAGUCUGCAACCCGACUCCAUGAAGCUGGAUUCGCUAGUAAUCGCGCAUCAGCCACGGCGCGGUGAAUACGUUCCCGGGCCUUGUACACACCGCCCGUCAAGCCAUGAAAGCCGGGGGUACCUGAAGCGCGUAACCGCGAGGAGCGCCCUAGGGUAAAACUGGUGAUUGGGGCUAAGUCGUAACAAGGUAUC
rnacentral:rRNA from 1 species